AUUGAACGCUGGCGGCAUGCUUUACACAUGCAAGUCGAACGGCAGCACGGGGGCAACCCUGGUGGCGAGUGGCGAACGGGUGAGUAAUGCAUCGGAACGUGCCCCGUCGUGGGGGAUAACACAUCGAAAGAUGUGCUAAUACCGCAUACGACCUGAGGGUGAAAGCGGGGGACCGCAAGGCCUCGCGCGAUGGGAGCGGACGAUGUCUGAUUAGCUAGUUGGUGGGGUAAAGGCCUACCAAGGCGACGAUCAGGAGCUGGUCUGAGAGGACGACCAGCCACACUGGGACUGAGACACGGCCCAGACUCCUACGGGAGGCAGCAGUGGGGAAUUUUGGACAAUGGGGGCAACCCUGAUCCAGCCAUGCCGCGUGCGGGAAGAAGGCCUUCGGGUUGUAAACCGCUUUUGUCAGGGAAGAAAAGCUCCGGGCUAAUACCUCGGGGUCAUGACGGUACCUGAAGAAUAAGCACCGGCUAACUACGUGCCAGCCGCCGCAGUAAGAC
rnacentral:rRNA from 1 species